GGGUCAGUAGGUUGGUCGUGCCACCGGUACGUACUGGUCUCACUGAUUCCUCCUUCCUGAAGUACCGUAAUGCCAUUAAUUUGGUGUUGCGGGGAAACAGGACUGUUACUUUGAAAAAAUUAGAGUGUUUAAAGCAAGCUAACGCUUGAAUACAUUAGCAUGGAAUAAUGAAAUAGGACGAUCGAUCCCAUUUUGUUGGUUUCUAGGAUUGACGUA
rnacentral:rRNA from 1 species